rnacentral:rRNA from 1 species
UACGUAGGGGACGAGCGUUGUCCGGAAUUACUGGGGCGUAAAGGGCGCGCAGGCUGCGCGUCGAGUCGGCUGUUAAAGAUCCGGGCUUAACCCGGUGAAGCGGUCGAGACCGACGAGCUGGAGUGCUGCAGAGGCAAGUGGAAUUCCCGGUGUAGCGGUGAAAUGCGUAGAUAUCGGGAAGAACACCGGUGGCGAAGGCGACUUGCUGGGCAGCAACUGACGCUGAGGCGCGAAAGCCAGGGGAGCAAGCGGGAUUAGAUACCCGGGUAGUCCCU